CCUACGGGAGGCAGCAGUGAGGAAUAUUGGUCAAUGGCCGGGAGGCUGAACCAGCCAAGUCGCGUGAGGGAAGACGGCCCUACGGGUUGUAAACCUCUUUUGUCAGGGAGCAAGGUGCAGGUCGGGACCUGCUGUGAGAGUACCUGAAGAAAAAGCAUCGGCUAACUCCGUGCCAGCAGCCGCGGUAAUACGGAGGAUGCGAGCGUUAUCCGGAUUUAGUGGGUUUAAAGGGUGCGCAGGCGGAGGGACAAGUCAGCGGUAAAAUCGCGGCGCUCAACCCCGCUCCGCCGUGGAAACUGUGUCCCUUGAGUGCGCGAAGGGUAGGCGGAAUGCGUGGUGUAGCGGUGAAAUGCAUAGAUAUCACGCAGAACCCCGAUUGCGAAGGCAUCCUUCCGGCGCCCUACUGACGCUGAGGCACGAAAGUGCGGGGAUCGAACAGGAUUAGAUACCCGUGUAGUC
rnacentral:rRNA from 1 species